rnacentral:lncRNA from 1 species
AUGACUUCUCUGGCAGCAGGUGUGCAAUGGAGGGAACCUGGAGAAAGGAAGACAGCCCUGGCCGCCACCUCCACCCCCAGAGGCUUCCACACUUCCUCAAACUCUCCCAAAUUACCCAUAAUGCCUCCUUUCCCCUCACUUACUCAGUGCCACCCACCAGUGCCAGUCAGCUGCAAGUGCACCCAAAAUGCUCUUGUCACCACAGCCAUCCUGGUCCAGGCCAGCAGCAGCUUUCCCCUGGGCCAUCACAUCAGUCUCCCAGCCAAUCUGGCAGCUGCCUCGGGCCCUUCUACAAUUUGUGUCAUGGCAGGAAAGGCCUUUAAAAUAAUGUCACACCAUGUCACCCCCAAGCUCCUGCAAAAACCCUCCAAAAGCUCAGUCCAUCCACCUCACCUGCAGGCCCUGGCUGAGCCAUGCUUCCCCAGAGACAGGCUGCAUGAUGUUCCUGACACAUGCUCCCAAGUUUACUGGCAAGAGGAAGCUGAAGGUCAGCAGACUCCAGAACUGGCCCUUCAACUCACUCUGUGCCAGCCACGGCUGCCCACACUGUCCAGGUGCUGGAAAUCCCCUCCCUGCAAUUUCUCCCGGGAGUGUAACCACCCCAAGCCCCCCAGGGAGCUCCCCACACUGGAAAAAUAUUUCUGGGGCCCUGGUGGCCCCAAAUUGGGAUGGCCACCAUCGAGGAUGUGCCCUCACCCCGGCGGGAAGGCACAGAGUGCUGCCUCAUUAAUACUUAUGGCAACUUCACCAAUGCCCGCCCAGCGGUCUUUGGGGAUCAGCGGAGGAUGUGAAAGUAGAUGCAUUAGGAUGUUAAAUAGUUCAACAGUAAGCAGCCCCUGCCAAGUGCUUAGCGGCUUUCUGCUCGCUGGGGCAGCGGUGCCAGUGCUGGCCCAACUCCCAGCCACCUCUGCAGGACAGCAUGGGGACAGUCCAGGCCCACCACGUGGCCACCAGAGGCAGGGUUGUGCCUCUAACAAGCUAGGGGAUGGCACAUCUUCAUCCACGGACUAUCACUUCCCAGCAAGGCCCUGA